GUUAAAGUUUAAGAGAGAAGAUCAUGGGGGCCGGCCCAGUGGCGCAGUGGUUAAGUGCGCACAUUCCGCUUCAGCAGCCUGGGGUUCCUCGGUUCGGAUGCCGGGUGUGGACAUGUCACAGCUUGGCAAGCCAUGCUGCAGUAGACAUCCCACAUUAAAGUAAAGGAAGAUGGGCACGGAUGUUAGCUCAGGGCCAGUCUUCCUCAGCAAAAAGAGGAGGAUUGGUGGCAGAUGUUAGCUCAGGACUAAUCUUCCUCAAAAAAAAAAGAGAGAGAAGAUCAUGUCUCUUUUUUUCCUUUGUGCGCUUUGUGAGGAGGCCAGCGCAUUGGCAAUUGUACUAAAUCUGCAGAGUCUGCCCCCUGGAAACCACAUGUAGAGGCUGAGUGACUUUUAGGCAGAGACAUGGACAUAUUCCAGGGCUAUGAAUGUUUAUGACUUAAGACUGGCCGUUGGCCUCCACCAUGAACACUUUUUAUUUCAAGGUUCUACAACAGCAAGGUAGUUACGUGAAAGCAAGUUGGGUUAUACCAUCCCUUUUGUAUUAGUUAGCUAUUGCCACAUAAAUUACCACAAACUUAGUGGCUUAAAUUACAUACAUUUAUUAUCGUGGUUUCUGUAGGUCAGGAGUCUAGGCAUGGCUUACCUGGGUCCUCUGCUCAGGUGUCGGCCAAGCUACAUUCUCAUGUGGGAGCAUGGCCAAGUGAGAAGCCGCUUAAGCUCAAGUUGUUGGCGUUGGCAGAAUUCAUGUCGUUGACUGAGGGCCUUGGCUUCUUACUGGCUGUCGGUUGAGGCUGCUUGUGGUUUCUAGAAGCUGCCUGCAGUUCCUUGUCACAUGGGCUUACCCAAUACGGCCCUUUACUUCAUCAAGCCAGCAGAGGAGAGUCUCUGGAGUAGUCUUCUAGCGAGAUAGAGUCCUUUUUUUAUUGUGAAAAAACCCCCACAUAACAUAAAAUUUGCCAUCUUAACCAUUUUUAAGUGUACAGUACAGUAGUGUUAACUACAGAUCUUCCUCGACUUACGAUGGGGUUAUAUCCCAAUAAACCCAUCUUAAGUUGAAAAUAUUUUAAGUCGAAAAUGCAUUUGAUCCACCUAACCUACCAGACAUCAUAGCUUAGCCCAGCCUGCCUUAAACAUGCCCAGAACACUUGCAUUAGCCUACAGUUGGGCAAAAUCAUCUAACACAAAGCCUGUUUUAUAACAAAGUGUUGAAUAUCUCAUGUAACUUAUUGAAUACUGUACCAAAAGUGAAAAACAGAAUGUUCUUUGGGGUAGAGAAUGGUUGUAAAUGUAUCAGUUGUUUACCCUGGAGAUCGCAAGGUUGACUGGGAGCUGUGGCUGUGCGGGAUCAUGAGAGAGGAUCGUACUGCAUAUUGCUAGCCUGGGAAAAGAUCAAAAUUCAGAAUUUGAAGUACAAUUUCUACUGAAUGUAUGGUUUCUUUUGCACCAUCAUAAAGUUGAAAAAUUGUAAGUGGAACCAACGUAAGUUGGGGACUGUCUAUAUAUGCAUAUUGUUGUGUAGCUUUUCCAUCUUGCAAAACUGAAGCUCUGUACCUAUUGAACAACUCCCCAUUUCCCCCUCCCUCAGCCCCUGGUAACCACCAUUCUAUUUUCUGUCUCUAUGAAUUUGACUACUUUAGAUACCUCGUAUAAGUGGAAUCAUACAGUGUCUUUUUGUGACUGGUUUAUUUCACUUAGCAUAAUGUCCUCAAGGUUUAUCCAUGUUGCAGCCUAUGACAAAAUUUCCAUCUUUCUUAAGGCUGAAUAAUAGUCCAUUGUAUGUAUAUACCACAUUUCUUUAUCCAUUCAUCCAUUGAUGGACAUUUAGGUCGCUUCUGCAUUUUGGCUAUUAUGAGUAAUGUUGCAAUGAACCUACGUCUGCAAAUAUCUAUUUAAAAUCUUGUUGUCAGUUCUUUUGGAUAUAUACCCAGAAGUGGGAUUGCUGGAUCAUAUAGUAGUUCUAUUUUUAAUUUUUUGAGGAAUCUCUAUACUGUUUUCCAUAGUGGCUGCACCAUCCUACAUUCCCACUGUAGGUGAUCAGAAUUUGCCACCCCAAAUGUGUCUCUUUGGCUUGAUUAUUUUUAAGAACAAAAGACUCUGAAAGAAACUUUGACUUUCCCCCUAACUGCCCAAAAGAAUUUAGGAUACAAGGCCUGUUCCAGGAAGGAGCUAUCACCACUGAUAACUAUAGGAUAAUGCAAAAUAGCUGUGAUAGAAAGGCACCAACAAGCCAAUUUUUAUGAAAGUUCUGUCUCUCGGAUCACAUUGUCUCUAGGUAGCUCAGCAAGCACUUGUUUAACAAACAUUUGCUUUUCCAUCUCCGUGUGAAUUGCCUUCCUCCCCUCUGAAGUCCCAAACCACUACCCACAACAUCCUCCUUUGUCUUUAGCUGAAGAUGGUAUUUAAGGUGGCGGCUUUGGCCAUUUUGGAGAGUUACUCAGUUUUCCUGGGUUUCUCCCAUGUAUACAUGUUAUUAAACUUUGUUUGAUUUUCUCUUAUUCUGUCUCAUGUCAACCAGCCAGAAGGACCUAGAGGGUAGAGGAAUAGGUCUUCCUCCCCUAUACCACCAAUAGUGUACAAGGGUUCCCUUUUCUCCAUAUCUGCACCAGCACUUGUUAUUUUCUGUGUGUUUUUUUUAUAAUGAUCAUCCUAACAGGGAUGAAGUGAUACCUCAUUGUGGUUUUGAUUUGCACUUCUCUGAUGAUUAGUGAUGUUGAGCAUCUUUUCAUAUGCUUGUUGGCCAUUCGUAUAUCUUCUUUGGAGAAAUGUCUAUUCAAAUCCUUUGCCCAUUUUAAAAUCAGCUUAUUUGUUUUUGUUGUUGUUGAGCUGUAGGAGUUCUUUUUAUAUUCUGGACAUUAACUUCUUAUCCGAUAUAUGAUUUGCAAAUAUUUUCUCCCAUUCAGUAGGUUGCCUUUCACUUUGUUGAUUGUUUCCUUUGAUGUGCAGAGGUUUUUAAGUUUGAUAUAGUCCCAUUUGUCUAUUUUUUGCUUUUGUUGCCUGGCAAGAGUUUUACAUAAUGUAACAUAAUCAUGGAAGUGGCACCCUAUCACCUUCACCAUAUUCUAUUGCUUAGAAGCAAGUCACAAGUCCUGCCCAUACUCAAGUGGAGAGGAUCACACAAAGGCACUGGGAGGAAGGAUCAUGGCAGCCGCCUUGGAGUCUGUCUGCAUGUAAAGGGCAGUAGAAGCCUGCUUCUUAUUCAACAUUUAACAAACAUUUAUCAAGGUCUGUUUCCUGCCAAGCAUUGCACUUGGAGAAGGGUGAAAUAAAUAUUGCCUAGUCCCUGCCCUCCAAGGACUUACAGUUCAACAUUACAGACCCUUAUGGUUCUAGAUAUGGUUGGAAGGGAUCCAGCUUCCUGGAUAAAAAGGACAAGAACAAUCUGAACUGAGGGGCAGAUACACAGUUUGUCACCCAUUCAGUGUGACCUACCUCCUCCAGGCAGCCCUCCCUCUCUCCCCUGCUGAAGUCAUGUCCAAAGGGAAGACUACUGCCCACCACUCAGCCCAGGGAUCAAGGCUCUAACUCCUCAUAAAUACUUAGGAAAUCUCAAAAGUACAAUCAGCCAUCCUUAGGCCUCCUAAAGUAUUAGCUCUUUGAAUCUGGGUAUGGCAGUUACUCAAUAAGAUCAUAGGAAAUAAUUGCCUGUGAGUGCACACAGUAUAAGCCACCCCCUGUUUUCCCUAUGGCCCCUGGGUACGUGCAAUAGAUUUUAAAGCUCAGAAUCCAGCUUACCGAUCUUUGUACCAUUCAUAAACUGGAAAUUAAUUGUUAACAGUGAAUCCAGGAAAACAGAGGAUACUUCAAAGAAGGAAAUACAAGAGCGUGAACUCCACCCAAACAGCCUCUGUUUGACCUGAGGAACAAGGAACCAACCUAUGUUCUGGCUGUGGUGUGAGCAGAUGUUGGGCAUAUUCUGCUGGAGGCAACAGAGAUAGAAUACACACUCAUUAUCUGGCAGGAAGAGUGGGUUUUCCCAUCCAAGCAAGUGACGUAGAGAAUGCCAACCUAUUGGUAUGAAGCUAAGGGGUAGUAUUCGAAUGUUCCAAAUACAUUGAAAACUGUAAACCAAUAUAUCUAAGAAUCCCAGGGAACCCCAAGGAGCAAAAACACAAAGAAAACUACACUGAGGCACUACAGAAUCAAAUUUCUGAAAACCAGUGAUAAAGAGAAAAUCUUAAAGAUAAGAUUGAUCACUGGUUUCUCAUCAAAAACAAUGCAAAUCAGAGAGUGGUGGGGCAACAUCUUUAAAGUACUGAAAGAAAAACACUGUCAACCUAGAAUUUUAUAUCCAGUGAAAAUGUCCUUCAAAGAUGAAGGCAAAAUAAAGACAUUUCAGAAAACCAAAGCUAAGAGAAUUCAUCACUAGUGAAAUUGUACUACAAGAAAUGCUAAAGGAAGUUCUUCAGGCUGAAGGAAGGCUGAUACCAGAUGGACACGUGAAUUUAUGCAAAGGAAUGAAGAGUAUCAGAAAUGGUAAAUAUGUGGGUAAGUAUAAAAGACGUUUUUCUUGUUUAUAAUGUCUUUAAAAGAUAAAUAACUGCUUAAAUGAGAAUAAUAAUAGUGUAUUAUGGGAUUUAUAACAUUUGUAGAAGUAGAAUAUGAGCGUAAUAGCAUAAAGAAUGGAGGAGAUGGGAUGGAAGUAUAUUGUUAUAAGAUUCUUACAUUAUAUGUUAAAUGCCAUAACAUUUAAAGGUAGACUGUGAUAAAUUAAAGAUUCAUAUUGUAAAGCUUAGAGCAACCACUAAAAAAAUUAAAAAGGUAUAGCUAAUAUGUCAAUAGAAGAGAGAAAAUGGAUUCAUAAAAAAUAAUCCAAGAGAAGACAGGAAAAGAGGUAAAAAGGAAGAAAGAGCAGAUGGGACAAACAGAAGUGUAGGACUACUGUUGUUUCUGAUAUCUUAUACCUAUCAGGUAAGAAGGAAGACCGUAAAACAUCUUGUAUUUACUUCUCAAAAUUAGAAUGAGAUAAAGAAUGAGUAAGUAGAGGCCGGCCCCAUGGCCAAAUGGUCAAGUUUGCACACUCUGCUUUGGCGGCCCAGGGUUUCACCAGUUCGGAUCCUGGGCAUGGACCUAUCACUGCUUCUCAAGCCAUGCUGAGGUGACAUCCCACAUAGCAGAACUAGAAGGACCCACAACUAGAAUAUACAACUAUGUACUGAGGGGCUAGGGGAGAAGAAGAAGAAAAAAGAUUGGCCAACAGAUGAUAGCUUAGGGCCAAUCUUUGUUUGUUUGUUUUUGUUUUUUUUGAGGAAGAUUAGCCCUGAGAUAACAUCUGCUACCAGUCCUCCUCUUUUUUCUGAGGAAGACUGGCCCUGAGCUAACAUCCAUGCCCAUCUUCCUCUACUUUAUAUGUGGAACGCCUACCACAGCAUGGCUUGCCAAGUGGUGCCAUGUCUGCACCCGGGAUCUGAACCAGCGACCCCUGGGCCACCAAAGCAGAACGUGCGCACUUAACCACUGUGCCACAGGGCCGGUCCAGGGCCAAUCUUUAAAAAAAAUGAAUGAGUAACUAAACAUGAUAUCCAGACUCCUACAUAGAAUUCAGUAGCUUUUGUUGAUGAUAACAUCAGCUACAUUCUGAUUCAUUCAGCAUUGAACAGUAGCUUAAGCCAUUAAAAACUUUAAAAAACUCAAUUAGGGCAAUUAACCAUGUUAUCAAGGACCUGGGCUUUUAAAACUCUUCCACUGUGUAGUCAUCCUUAACUCAUCCCAUGAACAUAACAGUGCUGUGAUAGCUCCAAGCAUCAUGUCCUCACAAUCAGCAUCCCAAGCAGGGAAAAAAGGUCAGGAGCAAAAAUCUUUGUCCUAACGAGGCUCUGUCUUUUUAUCUGGGAAGCAACAUCUUCCUUAGAAUCCCCCAGAAGUCUUCCCUUUAUGUCUUAUCAGACAGUACUGGGUAAUAUGGCUACCCAUGGCUGGCUGCAAGGGUGCCUGGGUCAUUGAGUAUCUGGAAAAGGAGAACAGAGGUGCUAUGUUUGGCUAAGAUGAAUUGUGAUUCUUUCUUUGAGGUUGGGCACGUUGCUGCCCAGAACAAAACUGAGAUUCUGUUAGCAAGGAAUUAGAAGGGAGUGGAUAUAGGGUAGGCAUAUAGGUGUCUACUAGGAUCAGUUGUGGAAGCAUAGAAAAAGAAGAAUCUCAGAGGCCAAAAUUGGCACAGCUCAAUCUGGCACUGUACUGGAACAAGAAUACCCUGAUACAGGAACUCCAGUAGUUGAAUCUUGAGAUGGGUGUUUGCUAUUGUGGAGAUGGAUACAUCAGUCUCUCCUUAUUCAUUUAUUUAUUUAACAGACUUUUAUUGUAUCAGGUAUUGUUGUAGUCUCUGGAAUUGUAGCAGUGGAAAAAUCAGACAAAAUUCGUUGCCCCCAUGGCGCUUACAUUCUAGUGAAUGCAUCUUACCUGAAUGCAACUGAUUCCAUGUUCACCAGUAAAUUUUCUAAUUGUAGUUGGGUUUCUCAUGGCCCCCAAGCAGUCCCACAUCUCAUUAUGAAUUAAGAAAUUGAUAUUCUUAUUUCAUAUAUCAGUCUCUUGGUUGAUGUGAGUCCUCCUAGGGACACAUUCACCUUUAGUGAAGUGACAAAUCGUUUCUUUUUUAAAUUAUUAUUUUAUUGAGGUCACAUUAGUUUAUAUCAUCGUGUAAAUUUCAGGGGUACAUCAUUAUAUUUCGACUUCUGUAUAGAAUGCAUUGUGUUCACCAUCAAAAAUCUAGUUUCCCUCUGUCACCAUACAUGUAUGCCCCUUUAUCCCUUUUUCUCUCCUCCCACCCACUUCCACUCUGGUAACCAUCAAUCUGUUCUAAAAUAUGGAGCACUUCACACAUUUGCAUGUCAUUCUUGUGCAGGGGCCAUGCUAAUCUUCUCUGUAUUGUUCCAAUUUUAGUAUAUCUGCUGCCAGAGUGAGCACACAAAUCAAUUUCUGACCUGCAUAUCUGAGGGUCAGUACCUGAACCAAGUUUAGUUCAACAAGGCAUUUCAACCCUGUGAGCCAUCAUGGGAGACAGCCAGCCACACAGCUUUCUCUGGUUAAUACCCAAUAGUGCAUGUUUCCCCUAUUUGGAAGUGUUUAAACUUAUUCAUAUGUAUGAAAGGGAUACAAGAAGGAAAUAUUAAAUUAUAAGCAUUUAAAUCUAUCCCAAAAAAGGAGAACUGACCUUGAAACUGUGACUUGUGAAAUGUAUUCUGAACUAAUUGGAUUAAAAUUCAUCCUUAGAGGAGUCAAGGUUAAAAAAAUUUUCCAAUUCGUGAACAAUUAGAUUGUUUCUUUCCUCCCCACCCCCCGCCAUUUCAAACAAUACUGCUAUGAAGAUUCUUGUAUGUCAUUGAGUAUAAGAGCAAUAAUUUAUAGGGUAUUUGCCUAGGACUGGAAUGCUGGGUCGGAGGGUAUAUGCAUGUUCAACUUUAUGAAAUAGAGCCAAAUUGCUCUCCAAAGUGAUUAUGCCAAUUCACAAUUUCCACUAGCAGCGAAUGAGAAUUCUUGGUGCUUUCUGUCCUCACCAGCAGUUGGUAUUUUCAGACUUUUUGGUUUUUGCUUGUCUGAUGGGUAAGAAAUGGUAUCUUGUUGUGGUUUGAAUCUGAUUAAUGUGAUAUUGAUCUUUUCAUAUAUUUAAUGGCCAUUUAUUUUUUUCUUCUACUUGAAUUGCCAUUUCGUGACUUUUUGAUUUUCCAUUUUUGAUUGGCUUCUUUAUUUUUUUGUACUCAUUUGUAGUAACUCUUUUAUAUAAUUAAUUAAUUUUUUUUUUCUGAGAGAGAUUUGCCCUGAGCUAACAUCUGUGGCCAGUCCUCCUCUUUUUUUGCUUGAGGAAGAUUAGCCCUGAGCUAACAUCUGUGCCAAUCUUCCUCUAUUUUGUAUUUGGGUUGCUGCCACAGCAUGACUGACGAGUGGCAUAGUUCCUGGGCUGCCGAAGUGGAAUGCGCCGAACUUAACCACUACAGUACAGGGCUGACCCCUAUAAUUAAUUAUCCUAAUUCCCCACCCCUCUUUUUUGUUAUUUUUGUUGGAAACAUAUACUAAAUCUGUGUCUAGGAUAUUUUUCUUUGUUAAUAGUGUCUUUGAUCAUAUGGAAAUUUCUCAAUUUAAAGUAGUCAAAUUUAUCAAUCCAUUUGGAAUGAAGACUAUGUUAUUGGGUACGAGCACAUUCAAAAUUUUUAUAUUUUCAUGGUGAAUUUUUCCUAUUCUCAUGUUUGUGCUUCUGUAUCUUUAUAAUAGUCUUUUAUUUAAAGUCCAUUUUUUAUGAAAUAAAUACAGCUUUAUUUUUGUAAGUAUUUAUCUGAUAUGUCUGUUCUCCUAAUUUUGAUUUUCAACCUUAGUGUAUCAUUGUCUUAGUGUCAUACAAGGAACGGACCAGUAGGAGCAGUCUACUCUACCUGCAGAAAUUAAGGGCCCUGUAGCCCCAGUACCAGCUUACAUGCUUACCAUUCUCAUCUUGAAUUUCAUGCUUCCUUCAGUCCCCUCAU
rnacentral:lncRNA from 1 species